CAUAAAGUAGAAAGCACUACUAAACUUCAAUGCAAAGUGUAGUGUUUCCUACUUUAUGG
ensembl:miRNA gmo-mir-142-2 gmo-mir-142-2